CCUACGGGCGGCAGCAGUGGGGAAUAUUGCACAAUGGGGGAAACCCUGAUGCAGCGACGCCGCGUGAGUGAAGAAGUAUUUCGGUAUGUAAAGCUCUAUCAGCAGGGAAGAAGCAAGACGGUACCUGACUAAGAAGCCCCGGCUAAAUACGUGCCAGCAGCCGCGGUAAUACGUAGGGAGCAAGCGUUAUCCGGAUUUACUGGGUGUAAAGGGGGCGUAGACGGCUGCGCAAGUAUGAAGGGAAAGCCCAGGGCUCAACCCUGGGCCUGCCUUGGAAACUGGGGCGCUAGAGUGCUGGAGAGGUAAGUGGAAUGCCUAGUGUAGCGGUGAAAUGCGUAGAUAUUAGGCGGAACCCCAGUGGCGAAGGCGGCUUACCGGAUAGCAACUGACACUGAGGCUCGAAAGUGUGGGUAUCAAACAGGAUUAGAUACCCGUGUAGUC
rnacentral:rRNA from 1 species